CCUUAAGUCCAGUGGGAGGGGGGACCUAAUAACCCUAUAGUGCCAGAAAAACAAGUUAAUUUUCCUGGCACUAUAGUGCUCCUUUAAAUUUAAAAUUCACUUUGAAUUAUCACAUUAGUAAAUAACCUUGUCAGAGGGCUCUUUAGGUUUAUUCACUAAAUACCAAAUUGUAUUGAAAUGUAAACGCUACGGAAUCUGUUGGCGCUAUAUAAAUGGCAAUAAUAAUAAUAAUAAACCGAAAUGGAAAGAAAGUGAUGAUUUGGUAACAUUCCCA